UGUGACAAAAAAUGUCUCCAGGAGAGUGCUGAGGAAGUAUAGAAGUCGUAGCUCUGAUCUUGAUGUCAAAGAAGAAAACAAGAGUCCUACCUCACUAGCUUUGAGGUAAAUGCAUUGUUAAAUUUUUUAACAUAUUUUAUAUAGUCUAGGUUACUUAACGUUCGAUUGAACUAGGAAUGACAAAUUGGCUCGCGGGCUCAAGCCGCCCGUGGCCUGGCCGAUAAAAAGGUUGAGCAAGCCUGGCUCAAAAUUUAGAAAAAAAAAAAAUUAAAACAAUUGGCUGUUGCCUUCAUAAGAAAGAAAAAAAUCAAGCUGGAUCGGUAAGGCCCGAGCCAAAGCUCCAGUCGGGCGUCAAUUUUUUGGCCAAACUUUUGCUCAGCUAGCACGAGCCAAAAAAAGCUGCUCGGGUCGUUGACACCCCUAGAUUGAACCCAUAUUCUGUAUUCCAUAUAUGUAUGAAAUUUUGGGUUACAUUUUACAACAAGUUGCUGUUGGUGUUAAAAUCGGUCUGAAUUUUUGAAUUACUUUGCUUGUACAUUGUUAAUUCGGUACUAUGAAUUUUUAAUGUGGUACAUUUUUUAAAUUUUGUACAAUAUGAUGCUUGAAGUUUUUUACAUAAUAUUUGACAUAUUACAUCGUAUAAAACAUUUAAUUUUUGCAUCAUAUAUAUGUAACAUGUGUGACAUCUAUCCCAUUGUUUAUGAAAUAGGUAAUGCUAAUUUUAUGAUUUUUUGCAAUGGUCCUUUGUACAUGAUAUUAACAUACAUUGUUACAUUUGAUCAUUUUGUACAGGAUUGUUCAUUAGUUAUGAAAUUUUUGUUAUAACUAUUAUGUGAACUGUUAAGUCGAAGGAUCAUUAAGUCUCAAAAAUGGAUCGUUUUGCAGUAAAAAAUAGAUUUGCAGAAAAUUAAAAAAAUCUAACACGAAGAUAUGUUUCACCCUAAAAAGGGCCUAGAUGUUCGAUCUUGCGACCUAGUCACCCGUUGAGCAUCACCAAAAGGUGAUAAAGCUCAAGAUCCACUAAGUAUCAACCAAGAACAGUAUAACAUGUACGAAGAAACCAAAGGUUUCUUCGAAUAUUCUUUCGCCUCUAUUCAAAACUGUAAUCCAACUCACUCUCAAUCACUAACAGACUAUAAAACACAAUCAGAAACCAUCACUAAGAUUACAGAUUGAGAAAUCACCAAGAACAUAUCGAAUUAUAGUAAACCAAGAACCCUAAUCUAUCACUCAGAGAAAAUGAGAGAGAGACGAAAGGUUGAAAGAGACUUCAAAUAAUCUAGAAUCAGGGCCAAAACCAAGUAAGUAUCUGAUUAGUCAAUCAUCCAAGGGUGAGAGUGAAGCCACGUGUACUGCUGAACCUCAACCAUUUAAGAGGCAAAGGCGUGUUUCUUUAAAACGCGAUUUACAACCCGAACUUAAUUCCAACAGACCAAGCCCACAAGUCUCAAUUUGGGCCAGCAAGAAAUGGUGAGGCAACCCAACUAAUAUACCAAUCUCCACCUUGCUGAAAUAUUUCUUGGUCUUUACUAGUGAAUCUAGAGCUAUAGCAACUGUUAGCUCAUUUGCUCUAAAUACGUGCAAAAAUAAAAUAAACACAUUAGUUCAAAUCUUUCCAAUGCUAAACACUUGAAGUUCUGAUUUUUACUAUCUCAAGUAAUAUUCAGAAUCUUCAAGCAAUUUUGAAAUUUACUCGAAGGUAAUACCUUAGUUCCAAAAUCUGAAGGGUUAAAUUCUGUAGGAAUUUUGACUAGACUUAUCAAACCUUUUUCUGCCAUAUUUCUCACAAAGUGAAAUUUUAUAUCUAUAUGUUUAGUUUUGUCAUGGUAGACAUGAUUUUUACUCAAAUAUAUGGCACUUUGGUUAUCUGUAUAAAUCCUAACAAUAUUAUUUUCAAAAACCUAUUUCAUUUAACAAACCCCUAAGCCAAAGACUUUCUUUUACUGCAUCACAAGCAGCAAUAUAUUCAGCUUCUGUAGAGGAAAGAGCAACUAAUUUUUGCAGUUGUGAUUUCCAACUAAUGCACCCAUCACACAAAGUGAAAACAUAUAAAGAUAUUGACCUUGUUUUAUCUAAAUCACCAGCAAAAUCAAAAUCAGUGUAGCCCUUUAACUUUACCCCUUCAUUGCUUAUUUUAAACAUUAAACCUAAAUCAGAGUUUCCUUUUAAGUAUCUUAGCAUCCACUUCAUGGCUAACCAGUGUGUUUCACCUGGAUUUGACAUAAACCUACUCAAGGUACUAAUGUCAUGAGCUAAGUCAGGUCUGGUACAGACCAUAAGGUACAUUAUUAAUCCUACAGCAUUUGCAUAAGGAAUCUUUUCCAUUCUUAUAAAUUCUUCAUCUGUUUUAGGUGAACUUUCACUUGACAGUUUAAAACGAUUAGCAAUGGGUAAGGUUACAGGUUCACACUCAAGCAUUGUAAACUUUUCAAGUAUUUUCUUUACAUAUAUGCCUUGUUUCAAUAUUAACAUGCAAUUAUUCCUAUCUCUUUCUAUUUCCAUUCCAAGAAUCCUUUUUGCUUGUCCUAGAUCUUUCAUUUCAAAUUCAGAUUUUAAUUUUGAUUUAAUGAAGUUAAUUUCAGAUCUAUCAUGGCAGGCAAGUAACAUGUCAUCAACAUAUAAUAACAGAUAAAUGGAUUCAAAUCCACCUGAACCUUUAUAGAUAAAACAGGAAUCAUAAUUAUUUUUGACAAAACCCAAAGUCUGCACAUAGGAGUUAAAUUUGAUGUACCAUUGCUUGGGAGUCUGUUUUAGUCCAUAGAGGGACUUCUUCAACAAACAAACCUUAUUGAUCUUAGACUUUAUUUCAAACUCCGGAGGUUGACUCAUGUAUAUGGUUUCAUCAAGAUCCCCAUUGAGGUAAUACCAAUUUUGAAAGGCAAUUUUUUCUGUUUUCCAAAUACACAAAUUUCACAAAAAUCCAAACCCUUAACAUUAUCCUUGCCAAAACAUCUAAGUUUAUUUAAGAUUAUUAGUCCCUUUUUUGAGAUGUGACCAAGUCUUUUGUGCCAAAUUAAAGACUUGUUGGAAUCAGAGUUUAAGGCUGUAGAACACUAGUCUCUCACAGAUUGAGCACAUACAGUAUAUAUGCCAUUUAUCUUUUGAGAAGAUAUGAUAGUUUUAUUUCCUUGCAUAAGUGUUAAAAAAACCUUUAUGAAUCAUAAUGCUGUAGUUAUCAUCGAGCUCACCCAAGGAAAUAAGACUUCUUUUUAACUUUGGGACAUAUCUGGUGUUCUCAACUUCUAGGGUACAAUUGUUAUUUAAUGAGAGUUUGACCUUUCCAAUCCCCUUAAUUUGACAACUCAUGUCAUUUUCCAUCUGAAUUUGUCCUCCAUUUAGAUCAACUAAUUCAAAAAAAAAUUCUCUUGUGGGACACAUGUGAAAGGUGCAGUCAGAGUCAAGGACACAUUCAUUUAGGUCUCUUCUGGUGGCUGUUACCAAAACAACCCCUUGAAUAUCAUAUUCAUUUCUGCAGGCUACAGCUGCAGAUCCCUCAGUAUUAGUAUUCUCUUUCAUAUCUGAGAUUUUCUUGAAGCAGUCUUCUAUUACAUGGCCAGUUUUACCACAGUAAUAACAUUUCCUGAUCUGGUUUUUAGUUUUCCAUUGAUUCUUAUUCUUUCCCUUAGAUCUGGAGAAUUGAGUUUUCCCUUUCUUAUUUAAAUUUUGAUUUAAGGGAUAUUUUUUCUUAUUUUGGUUCUGUUUCUCCUUUAUGAAUAACCCCUUACCAUACCUAGAGUCUUUAGACUCGGAUUUUAUUUCAAGUUCUCUAUUUUCUCAGGAUUGAGGUUAUUCUAUCAAUUAUUUCAAGUUCUCUAUUUCUCAGGACUGAGGUUAUUCUAUUAAUGGUAAUUUCUUGUCCCCCAUGUUUUAAUGCAUUUCUAAUGUCUCUAUACUUAUCACUUAGUGAAUUUAACAAUGCCAUAGCUUGUUGAUCAUCAGAAAUUUCUUCAUCACAGUUAGUCAAGUCCUGAAUCAGUUUUGUGAAUCUGUUAAGGUUAUCUUCCAGAUUUGAGGUAGGAUCAAAUCUAAAAUUAUAGAAUUGCCUUAGAAGGUAGUAUUUAUUAGACAUGGUUCUAAUUAGAUAUAAUGUUCCUAACUUAGUCCAAAGAGCCUGAGCAGAAGUAGUUUCUCCAACUUUCCUAAUUACACUAUCAGAUAAGUGCAAGAAACUUUACUUUUUCCAACUUUCCUAAUUACACUAUCAAUAAUUUAUGAAACUUCCCCCCAAGUCUCCAAUUCUUAUACUAGAAACUUUACUUUUUCCAACUCCGAAACAAUCCAGUGUGCACCAUAUUGUCUCAUAACAAAUGAAGCAAGUUAUGUAAUGAAACAAGCUAUCGAACCCAACUUACUCCUUACAGUUGUUAAACUCUUGACAUGUGUACGUAUGCACAUAUUCACAGAAGUAUGUCAAAAUAUGAUACUUCAUAACAUAUAUUGUUUCGUGUUAGAACUUAAAUAAAGGAGCAAAAUACAUUACAAUGUUGCCUCUUGCAUUUUAUACUUAACAUAGGAUAAUAUUUUUACCAAUCUAUAAGAACAUGACGUGCAUUGUUGAAUUCACCAUUUGAGAAAGAAAACAUGUCAAAUUGAUGUAUAAAGUACAAUGUCACUUGCAUGAUGUAAUAGAAUACGAUACCAUGUUACAUUAUGAAUUUUUCACCACUUCACGUUUCAAAUCAAAAUAUCAAAACAUGAGAAAAUGCUAUUAUCUUGUUCAGUUCAUAUUUGACACGAUGUAUCAAAAACAUGCAUAUUACUAUUGGUAACAUGAUUACAAAGAAAUUUAUAUUUCUCCAAUCAGACCAAUAUACAUCCGAGUUGCUGGAUCAAUCACCUUUGGCGCGCUCGCAACCUCAGCGUGGAGAGUUCGAUUCCUGGUGAGAACCUUUGAUCCAAUAAAGGGGCAAUUUAUUGGUGGAUUAAUCACGAUGGAGGAAAGCUCUCUUGAGGCCAGGAGUUUAGACCGGGUGGGAAUUUGUGAUCCAACAAGGGCACAAUCUGCGGUUUACCUCCGCUAGUCACUGAGGGGCCGUUGGCUAGGGGUCCAGGAUUUAGUCUGGCGAAUCUGGGACACCUGGGUAUCAAAAAAAAUAAUAAUAAAGCAUUAUAGACGAUUAUGUAAUACCUUGAGGCGCAUGAAAUGAAAAUUUCCAUAGAUGUUUCUUAUUACAGUCGGAGUAGAGAGUUUGAAAUUAAAAAAAAAAUAAAAAAAAAAUUGUGAUUUUUGACAGUGGAGAAAUAUGAACCUAAGUGCUAUUCGCAACUUAUGUGAAUUUAGUUUUCAAAUUCAAUGUUUGGCUAUUUUAUGCAGUUCUAUUUAAAAAAUGUCAAUAUUUUCCUUUCUGUGCGGAGUCAAUUACUUUAAGAGAUGCUAGAUGAUGGAUUCCAGUUAUUUUGAAAAAUUUAUCACAAAUAUUCAAUAGUUUGGCG
rnacentral:lncRNA from 1 species